GACCUCAGAUCAGGCAAGAUUACCCGCUGAACUUAAGCAUAUCACUAAGCGGAGGAAAAGAAACUAACCAGGAUUCCCCUAGUAACGGCGAGUGAACCGGGAAAAGCCCAACUGAAAAUCCUUCGGGAAUUGUAGUCUACAGAGGCAUCCUCUGUGUCGCGCGCGGCCCAAGUUCCCUGGAAAGGGACGCCGGAGAGGGUGAGAGCCCCGUCGGCUGCGUCGCGUCACUCCACGAGGUGCUUUCACAGAGUCGGGUUGUUUGGGAAUGCAGCCCCAAUUGGGUGGUAAAUUCCAUCUAAGGCUAAAUACUGGCGAGAGACCGAUAGCGAACAAGUACCGUGAGGGAAAGAUGAAAAGCACUUUGAAAAGAGAGUUAAAAGGGCCUGAAAUUGUAAAGUGGGAAGCGAAUGGUUUCCGGUGUGCGCCUCGGUUUUAUGUCAGCUUAACGGCUGGCCUCUCAACGCGAGGCGCUGGUCAGCGUGGGUUGGACGGGGGGUACAAAAACUUUUGUGCAUGCCUCCUGUCCGACUGAGGUCGAAGCGUGCCCCAGUCAUUGAACUGCGCGCUCGAGACGCUGGCGAAAGGGAACCCUUCGGCCCGUCUUGAAACACGGACCAAGGAGUCUAAC
rnacentral:rRNA from 1 species